AUGCCGCCCGCUCCCGUGCACCUCCCCAACUCAGAUCCAGAGGCUACGCCAGAUCCCGUCGCUGCGCCGCCGGCCCCGGCGGCGGUCCCGCUCACCCCCGAGCUCUUCGCCGCGCUCAGCCGGGUGGCCGCCAGGUCCGACCCCGACGCCGGCGCGCCGAGGAUCCUUCUCACGCCCGAGCUCCUCGCCAUCCUGCGCGGCGAGCUCGAGCCCUCCCCCGACGACCACUCCGACUUGGCCCUCCAUCUCCGCCUUUCCCAGCAGCAGCUCGACUCCAUGUCCGCGAGCCUCCCCUCCGCCACGCCCCCGCAACGCCCACAGUCUCCCCUGCCCCCGCCGCCCUCUCACGUGCCACCGCCGCCCCCUCCUCCGCCCAGCGCGCAUGCCAACCCGGCGAUGGAGAUGGCGCUCCACUAUCGCCCGCUGGUGCGCCGCGCGCGACUCACCUUCGAGGCGCUCUGGGGCCGCUACCGCCGCAACGCCGAGCACAACCCCGUCCCCGGCAGCCGCAACCGGGCCGACUUGCGGGCCCUCGGCGCCAUGAUCAAAGGGGGGCUCUGCCUCAACCGCGAUAAGCGCAUCGUAGGGCCCGUGCCGGGCGUCUUCGUCGGCGACGCCUUUAACUACCGCGCCGAGCUCCUCGUCGUCGGCCUGCACAACCAAACGCAGGCCGACAUCGGCUACGUGCCCGCCAGCAAGCUCGACGGGGGCCACUCCGUCGCCACCAGCAUCGUCUCCUCGGGCAGGUACCUCGACGACCACGACAACGGGGAUGUCUUGAUCUACACGGGAAGCGGCGGCAGCCCGCCGAACGCCGGCAACCUCGCCCUCACAUCCAGCUGCAAGUACGGCAUCGAGGUGCGCGUCAUCCGCUGCCACGACUGCCACGCCAGCCCCAGCGGCAAGCUCUACGUCUACGACGGCCUCUACAAGGUCCAUUCCACCACCGAGGUCUGCAAGUUCAAGCUCGUGCGUGUGCCCGGCCAGGAAGCGCUCGGCAGCAACACCUGGCGCUCCGCCAGAGACCUCAUCAACCAGUUCGACGCCAAGAUCCAGCCUCCCGACUACAUCACGCUGGACAUGUCCAAGGGCAAGGAAGCGGUUCCCGUCCCCGUCCGCAACACGGUGGACCAUGACGUCUUUCCCCUCAAGUUCGAGUACCUCGCACGCCCCGAGUUCCCGGCGCCGCCGGCGAUGCCCGGCCACAAGUGCUGCAUCAACGCCAAGACUGCGUGCAGCGAGACGUCCGGUUGCGUCUGCGUGAAGAGGAGCGGCGGAGGCGGCCCAGCGUACAAUGCUGACGGCAUGCUCUUGAGGGGGCGGCCGGUGGUGUACGAGUGCGGCGCGUCGUGCAGGUGCCCGGCGAGCUGCCCCAACCGGGUGACUCAGCGGGGGAUGAGGCACCGGCUGGAGGUGUUCCGGUCGACUGAGACGGAUUGGGGCGUGAGGACGCUGGACCUGAUCCAGCCGGGCGCAUUCCUCUGCGAGUUCGCUGGGGACGUGCUCCUCGCGGAUCACCCCCGCAUUGCCAACGCGAACGCCAAUGCCAAUACCGGCGCGUCAACGGAGGAGUGGGCCUGCUUCAUCGACCCGAGGAAGUUUCCGACGAGGUGGAUGGAGUGGGGGUACGCCCCCGCGGCCGUGCUUCCGGACGACGGCGAGGAACCGCCCCGUUUCGUGCAGUGCCCGGCGCCGGGGUACGUGCUCGAUAUAUCCAAGAGGAAGAACAUCGCGGCCUACAUCAGCCACAGCAGCUUAGUGCCGAACGCCUUCGUCCAGCUCGUGGUCCGUGGCAACGAGGACGAGUCGUGCCCCCACCUGAUGGUCUUCGCCAUGGAGAUCAUCCCGCCGAUGAGCGAGCUGAGCAUCGACUACGGCCUUGGUCAGUGA
rnacentral:rRNA from 1 species